GAUGAAGAACGUAGCGAAAUGCGAUAAGUAAUGUGAAUUGCAGAAUUCAGUGAAUCAUCGAAUCUUUGAACGCACCUUGCGCCCCUUGGUUAUUCCAAAGGGCAUGCCUGUUUGAGUAUCAUGAACACCUCAACUCUUGUGGUUUCCCACAAUGAGCUUGGACUGUGGAGGUUUUGUUGGCCCUGUGGUCGGCUCCUCUCAAAUGGAUCAGCUUACCGGUGUUUGGUGGCAUUACGGGUGUGAUAACUAUCUACGCUCGUGGUCGUCUCCAAAUAACCUCCAGUGAUGGAGGUUCGCUGGAGCUUAUAAAUGUCUCUCCCCAGUGAAGACAGCCUUUGAACGUUCGAUCUCAAAUCAGGUAGGACUACCCGCUGAACUUAAGCAUAUCAAUAAGCGGAGGA
rnacentral:misc_RNA from 1 species